GACGAACGCUGGCGGCGUGCCUAAUACAUGCAAGUCGAGCGAACCAAUGGGAGCUUGCUCCCUGAGGUUAGCGGCGGACGGGUGAGUAACACGUGGGUAACCUGCCUGUAAGACUGGGAUAACUUCGGGAAACCGGAGCUAAUACCGGAUAAUUUCUUUUCUCGCAUGAGGAGAGAUGGAAAGAUGGUUUUGCUAUCACUUACAGAUGGACCCGCGGCGCAUUAGCUAGUUGGUGAGGUAACGGCUCACCAAGGCGACGAUGCGUAGCCGACCUGAGAGGGUGAUCGGCCACACUGGGACUGGGACACGGCCCAGACUCCUACGGGAGUCAGCAGUGGGGAAUCUUCCGCAAUGGACGAAAGUCUGACGGAGCAACGCCGCGUGAGCGAAGAAGGCCUUCGGGUCGUAAAGCUCUGUUGUUAGGGAAGAACAAGUAUCGGAGUAACUGCCGGUACCUUGACGGUACCUAACCAGAAGGCCACGGCUAACUACGUGCCAGCAGCCGCCGUAACAC
rnacentral:rRNA from 1 species